GCGAGUGAAGCGGCAAGAGCUCAAAUUUGAAAGCUGGCUCCUUCGGGGUCCGCAUUGUAAUUUGCAGAGGAUGCUUCGGGUGCGGCCCCUGUCUAAGUGCCCUGGAACGGGCCGUCAGAGAGGGUGAGAAUCCCGUCUGGGAUGGGGUGUCCGCGCCCGUGUGAAGCUCCUUCGACGAGUCGAGUUGUUUGGGAAUGCAGCUCUAAAUGGGUGGUAAAUUUCAUCUAAAGCUAAAUACUGGCCGGAGACCGAUAGCGCACAAGUAGAGUGAUCGAAAGAUGAAAAGCACUUUGAAAAGAGAGUUAAAAAGCACGUGAAAUUGUUGAAAGGGAAGCGCUUGCGACCAGACUCGCCUCCAGGGUUCAGCCGGCAUUCGUGCCGGUGUACUUCCCUGGGGGCGGGCCAGCGUCGGUUUGGGCGGCCGGUCAAAGGCUCCCGGAAUGUAGUGCCCUCCGGGGCACCUUAUAGCCGGGAGUGCAAUGCGGCCAGCCUGGACCGAGGAACGCGCUUCGGCACGGACGCUGGCAUAAUGGUUGCAAACGACCCGUCUUGAAACACGGACCAAGGAGUCUAACAUCUACGCGAGUGUUCGGGUGUCAAACCCGUACGCGCAGUGAAAGCGAACGGAGGUGGGAGCCCCCUCGUGGGGCGCACCAUCGACCGAUCCUGAUGUCUUCGGAUGGAUUUGAGUAAGAGCGUAAAUGUGGGGACCCGAAAGAUGGUGAACUAUGCCUGAAUAGGGCGAAGCCAGAGGAAACUCUGGUGGAGGCUCGCAGCGGUUCUGACGUGCAAAUCGAUCGUCAAUUUGGGUAUAGGGGCGAAAGACUAAUCGAACCAUCUAGUAGCUGGUUCCUGCCGAAGUU
rnacentral:rRNA from 1 species